AGUAAGGUGGGAUCUUCAGAAUAAGAAUGAAGAAGGAUCACCGAGAGACAUUGAUAAGAGGCAGUGAACCUCCAGGACAUUCAGAGAGCGGAAGCCAUGUGGUGCUCCGGGAUGAACUGGUUGGCAAGAAGCUUAUAAAUCAGUGGGGAAAACUGAAGCAGCAAAGCUCUCGUGCCUGGUCUCAAGCUCUGGAAAUGCAGACUGUGGCAAGACUGUCCAGAUAUUUCUAAUUCCCACCCAGAGUAGAAGCUAAGGAGCCAAACUCUUGGUCUCCGUUACUCUUUUCGGAUGGGGAAUGAGAGUCGGCUCCUCUCCUGGCGCCUGUACUUCACCAACUGUUCCUAAUUAUGAGAGUAUUUGAUGGAACCUAGUUUGAUAAACAAACGAAAAGCCCUUGGUAAUUGUCACAGCGGUGAAAGCAUUUACAUCCAUAGGAAUGGAGAAGAAGUUUUGGAAAGCUCACUGAAACUCCAGCACUCACAACCGGCUCCACCUUGGCCUGACACCCCGCCCUCCAUCCCACCUGGAUGCUCAUGGGCUUGGCUCCUGGCCGUCAUUGAUCUUACCUGGAAGCUAAUGGCAUGUAAACCCCGGGGCCCCCUCACUUGUCCAGACCCCUUCCCGAGACUCUAAGAGGUGCCCUAGCAAUGUGUUCACUCAGACCGACCUUUAAAAACAUCUACACUCUAACUUC